UCCCUGGUGGCUCAGACGGUAAAGAACCUGCCUACAAUGCAGGAGACCCAGGUUCAAAUCUUGGGUUGAGAA
rnacentral:tRNA from 1 species